rnacentral:rRNA from 1 species
AGUGCAUGUGGCGGAUGCCUUGGCGAUCACAGGCGAAGAAAGACGCGGCAGCCUGCGAAAAGCUGCGGGGAGCUGGCAAACGAGCUUUGAUCCGCAGAUAUCUGAAUGGGGGAACCCACACCGCAAGGUGUAUCCGUAGCUGAAUACAUAGGUUACGGAGGCGAACGAGGAGAACUGAAACAUCUAAGUAUCCUCAGGAAAAGAAAUCAACCGAGAUUCCGGCAGUAGCGGCGAGCGAACCCGGAGGAGCCUAGCUUUUGAUAGUACGAACUUUAGCCGAAAGGUCCUGGAAAGGCCUGCUAUAGUGGGUGAUAGCCCCGUAGGCGAAAGAGUUGGUACGGUACUAAGGAAGCGAGAAGUAGAGCGGGACACGUGGAAUCCUGUUCGAAGACGGGGGGACCAUCCUCCAAGGCUAAAUACUCGUGAUCGACCGAUAGUGAACCAGUACCGUGAGGGAAAGGCGAAAAGAACCCCGGGAGGGGAGUGAAAUAGAACCUGAAACCGCAUGCAUACAAACAGUAGGAGCCUCAUCAGAGGUGACUGCGUACCUUUUGCAUAAUGGGUCAGCGACUUACAUUCUGUGGCGAGCUUAACCGAAUAGGGGAGGCGCAGCGAAAGCGAGUUCGAAAUGAGCGUCCAGUCGCAGGGUGUAGACCCGAAACCAGAUGAGCUAUCCAUGGCCAGGUUGAAGGUGUGGUAACACACACUGGAGGACCGAACCGACUAGUGUUGCAAAAUUAGCGGAUGAGCUGUGGAUAGGGGUGAAAGGCCAAACAAAUCUGGAGAUAGCUGGUUCUCCCCGAAAACUAUUGAGGUAGUGCCUCGUGUGUCGCUCCAGGGGGUAGAGCACUGUUUUGGCUAGGGGGACAUGGAGUCUUACCAAACCAAGGCAAACUCCGAAUACCUGGAAGCGUGAGCACGGGAGACAGAGCACCGGGUGCUAACGUCCGGACUCAAAAGGGAAACAACCCAGACCGCCGGCUAAGGUCCCAAAUAACAGCUAAGUGGAAAACGAAGUGGAAAGGCCGUGACAACCAGGAAGUUGGCUUAGAAGCAGCCAUCCUUCAAAGAAAGCGUAAUAGCUCACUGGUCGAGUCCUUCUGCGCGGAAGAUGUAACGGGGCUAAGCUGUUAACCGAAGCCGCGGAUGCACUGGUUAUCCAGUGCGUGGUAGGGGAGCGUUCUGUAAGUCUGCGAAGGCGGUUCGAGAGGACUGCUGGAGAUAUCAGAAGUGCGAAUGCUGACAUGAGUAACGUUAAAGCAGGUGAAAAGCCUGCUCGCCGUAAGCCCAAGGAUUCCUGCUCUACGUUCAUCGGAGCAGGGUGAGUCGGCUCCUAAGGUCAGGCCGAAAGGCGUAGCCGAUGGGAAUCAGGUUAAUAUUCCUGAACCUGCGUCAGAUGCGAUGGGGGGACGGAGCAUGGAAGAUCAUCCGGGUGUUGGAAGUCCCGGUUGUUUAGCGUAGGAGGUCUGCAGGCAAAUCCGCAGACGCAUCUCCAAGGCAAAGACACGUGCCGCCACGGCGGCGAAGUGAUCGGAAGUGCUUCCAAGAAAAGCCUCUAAGCCCCAGUCUGAUGCGGACCGUACCGCAAACCGACACUGGUGGGCGAGCUGAAUAUGCUCAGGCGCUUGAGAGAACUCGGGAGAAGGAACUCGGCAAAUUGACACCGUAACUUCGGAAGAAGGUGUGCCGUAGUACCGUGAGAGGAGAGACACCUUGAGCGGGAAACGGUCUCAGAGAAUAGGUGGCUGCGACUGUUUAUUAAAAACACAGCACUCUGCAAAGUCGAAAGACGACGUAUAGGGUGUGAUGCCUGCCCGGUGCUGGAAGAUUAAUUGAUGGGGUGAGAGCCCUUGAUCGAAGUCCCAGUAAACGGCGGCCGUAACUAUAACGGUCCUAAGGUAGCGAAAUUCCUUGUCGGGUAAGUUCCGACCUGCACGAAUGGCAUAACGAUGGCCACACUGUCUCCUCCCGAGACUCAGUGAAGUUGAAAUGUUUGUGAUGAUGCAAUCUACCCGCGGCUAGACGGAAAGACCCCAUGAACCUUUACUGCAGCUUUGCAUUGAACUGUGAACCGAUUUGUGUAGGAUAGGUGGGAGGCAGAGAAGCUAGGACGCCAGU